rnacentral:rRNA from 1 species
AUUGAACGCUGGCGGCAGGCCUAACACAUGCAAGUCGAACGGUAACAGGAAGAAGCUUGCUUCUUUGCUGACGAGUGGCGGACGGGUGAGUAAUGUCUGGGAAACUGCCUGAUGGAGGGGGAUAACUACUGGAAACGGUAGCUACUACCGCAUAACGUCGCAAGACCAAAGAGGUGGACCUUCGGGCCUCUUGCCUUCGGCUGGGCCCAGAUGGGAUUAGCUAGUAGGUGGGGUAACGGCUCACCUAGGCGACGAUCCGUAACUGGUCUGAGAGGAUGACCAGCCACACUGGAACUGAGACACGGUCCAGACUCCUACGGGAGGCAGCAGUGGGGAAUAUUGCACAAUGGGCGCAAGCCUGAUGCAGCCAUGCCGCGUGUAUGAAGAAGGCCUUCGGGUUGUAAAGUACUUUAAGCGGGGAGGAAGGGAGGAAAGUUAAUACCUUGGCUCAUUGACGUUACCCGCAGAAGAAGCACCGGCUAACUCCGUG